GAGUUUGAUCUUGGCUCAGGACGAACGCUGGCGGCGUGCCUAAUACAUGCAAGUCGAGCGGAUCUUCAUUAGCUUGCUUUUGAAGAUCAGCGGCGGACGGGUGAGUAACACGUGGGCAACCUGCCUGUAAGACUGGGAUAACUUCGGGAAACCGGAGCUAAUACCGGAUGAUCCUUUUCCUCUCAUGAGGAAAAGCUGAAAGACGGUUUCGGCUGUCACUUACAGAUGGGCCCGCGGCGCAUUAGCUAGUUGGUGAGGUAACGGCUCACCAAGGCGACGAUGCGUAGCCGACCUGAGAGGGUGAUCGGCCACACUGGGACUGAGACACGGCCCAGACUCCUACGGGAGGCAGCAGUAGGGAAUCUUCCGCAAUGGACGAAAGUCUGACGGAGCAACGCCGCGUGAGCGAUGAAGGCCUU
rnacentral:rRNA from 1 species